rnacentral:tRNA from 1 species
UCCCCGAUAGCUCAGUUGGCAGAGCAAAUGACUGUUAAUCAUUGGGUCCCUGGUUCGAGCCCAGGUCGGGGAGCCA